GAUUGGGUUAGGUUAGUUUGUAAGCUAAUUGAAAAAUGAAUGUGAUUACCAACCUUGUUACAGCUUCUGUCACUUCAGUCCACGCUCUCUUCUUAUCCUCAGGGGUGAUAAUCUUCCCAUAACACCUUCUGAUUAUACAUAUUUUUCAUGAAUUUGAUGUAAGAAGACCGUUUCAUCUGGCGACCAAUUAAACUUACUCCUUUUCUGCGCUGGUUCUCCGGCCCGUAGAUGUGCUCAUUGGGGCAGAUGACAUAGUUAUGGUGCGGUAAUUUCAGCAGAGCAAGUUGUGACGCAGGAGGGGAGAUAAGGGUAUUGACGAGUGACGAAGUAAAAGCAGCCUUUGAGGCUGCUAUCUGCCACAAAACUCAAUAUUUUCUUGUGUUUGCCAUUUAUUAUGUUUUUGUUGUACAUUUAUACAUGUUUUCUUUAUUUUUCUUUUGAAAUAUUUACUUAAUUCAUGUUGGAUGUUUACGUUUUGCACGAAGGCGUCCUUAGCUACGAGCCCGCCAUAAAGAAGAUAAUAGUAGCCAGGAUUUGCUAAUACUUACACUCAAAGUUGACGAGGAUAGCUUUUACCCUUAAUAAAUUGAAACUAUUAACUUUGAUUGUAGCUUUAAGAGUAAAAGUUAAUAGCUCGUGAGGAUACGGGCCCAGGUGUGGUGGAGGUUGUCCCAGAAGUCACAGGCAGCAGGGAGUCAGCUAUGAACAAGCAGGUGUGGUGGAGGUUGUCCCAGAAGUCACAGGCAGCAGGGAGUCAGCUAUGAACAAGCAGGUGUGGUGGAGGUUGUCCCAGAAGUCACAGGCAGCAGGGAGUCAGCUAUGAACAAGCAGGUGUGGUGGAGGUUGUCCCAGAAGUCACAGGCAGCAGGGAGUCAGCUAUGAACAAGCAGGUGUGGAAGGGCCAAGGUCCUAACUUUUGGAGUACAAUAAUUAUCUCCUUCACUUGCCUUUCUUUAUCAGACUCAGCUUCUGCUAACAACCUGAUUAGUAUAACUUGUGUAGGUAGACACUUCAGAAGUGGAGCUUCAUGUGCCUGGUAACGGUACGCUUUGUCUUAAACAGUUUUCCACAAACAUCACAUUUGAACUCUCUAAGAUCAUAGUGCUUGGACAUGUGUUCGUUAAAUGUGUACUUCCAACUGAAUCUCUGGCCACACUCAUCACACUCACGAGGUUUUUCACCAGUGUGUGUAAGGGUGUGGUCAUUAAGGUUACACUUUAGUCUGAAUUUUUUUCCACAUUCUAGGCAUUCAUAAUUUUUUUCACCGGUGUGUGUACUGCUGUGUACAGCAAGUGAGCGCUUCUGUCUGAACUCUUUCUAGGCAUUUAUAGUUCUUUACACCAGUGUGUAUACUAGCAUGUGCAUCAAGGGACCCCUUUAAUGUGAAUGUUUUUCCACAUUCUUGGCAUUCAUAGUUUCUUUUAUCACUGUGUGUAAUGAUGUGUGUACGAAGGUUACCCCUUUGGUUGAAUUGUUUUCCACAUUCUUGGCAUUCAUAAUUUCUUACACCAGUGUGUGUACAGAUGUGAUCAUUAAGGCUGCUCUUCUGCCUGUAUUUUUUUCCACAUUCUAAGUAUUCAUACUUUCUUACGUCAGUGUGAGUACGGAUGUGUGAAUCAAGGUAAUCCUUCCGACUGAAUUUUUUUUUACAUUCUUGGCAUUCAUACUUUCUUACACCAGUGUGUGUAAGGGUGUGUUUAUCAAGUGAACUCUUCAGGCUGAAUUUUUUUCUGCAUUCUUGGCAUUCAUAGUUUUUCACACCAGUAUGUGUUAGGGUGUGCUUAUCAAGUGCGCCCUUCAGCCUGACUUUUUUUCCGCAUUCUUGGCAUUCAUAGUUUUUCACAUCACUGUGAGUUAGGCUGUGUGCAACACGGGCACUCUUAUAUCUAAAAAAAAUUCCACAUUCUUGGCAUUCAUAUUUCUUUACAUCAGUGUGUGUAAGGGUGUGUUUAACAGCAUCAGCCUUCCAGCUUGGUAUUUUUCUACAUUCUUGACAUUCAUAGCUUCUUGCACCAGUAAGUGUAACGGUGUCUUUGUUGUCGUCACCCUUAGGAGUGAAUGCUUUACCACAUUCUUGACAUUCAAAAUUCCCAUCUUCUCUGUAGAUAUGGAGUUGCCAGUAGCAGACUGCUUCUUCUGAUGAUCACUGACCCUCCUAUCACCUGCUACAGGCUGCUCUUGUCCAGCUCUGCAGCCUCCCACCAGCACACCUGCUGAUGGGAGUCAGUCAGCAGGUUUUGCUGCUACGAGGCCUUGUAGCCUCCUGCCUACACACUUCCUGCAGGGAGUCUUGGUUUGGUCUUGGUUUGGAAGGUAGUCACUCUGGCAGUUACCGCAGCCUUUACAUCGG